rnacentral:rRNA from 1 species
AUUGAACGCUGGCGGCAGGCCUAACACAUGCAAGUCGAGCGGAUGAAGGGAGCUUGCUCCUGGAUUCAGCGGCGGACGGGUGAGUAAUGCCUAGGAAUCUGCCUGGUAGUGGGGGAUAACGUCCGGAAACGGGCGCUAAUAACACAUACGACCUGAGGGAGAAAGUGGGGGAUCUUCGGACAUCACGCUAUCAGAUGAGCCUAGGUCGGAUUAGCUAGUUGGUGGGGUAAGGGCCUACCAAGGCGACGAUCCGUAGCUGGUCUGAGAGGAUGAUCAGUCACACUGGAACUGAGACACGGUCCAGACUCCUACGGGAGGCAGCAGUCGGGAAUAUUGGACAGUGGGCGAAAGCCUGAUCCAGCCAUGCCGCGUGUGUGAAGAAGGUCUUCGGAUUGGAAAGCACUUUAAGUUGGGAGGAAGGGCAGUAAGUUAAUACCUUGCUGUUUUGACGUUACCAACAGAAUAAGCACCGGCUAACUUCGUG